AGACCUAAGGGGCACAGCCGCACACAGACUGCUGAGGUUCAGCACAGUCGUGCAAAGCUACAGGAGUAGUAUUUUCUCUCCAAAUUCCUAGGUGCGUCACUUUAUUAUGGAUUUAUUCCAGGAUUUUCUGGCGCUAUGCAUUAAGUGGUAGGCGACGUGCCCGUCGACAGCGAGGCGCCUGUGGUGAUUUCGUGAACUUCAAGAUUUGCUGGCUCAGUCCUUCGAAGGUGCUCAUAGGGAUAGGGUUUGCGUACGUGUGUUCAUAUGGGUGAGUGUGCGUGCGUGUUUAAGUGUCUGCGUUGUGUUGUGUAAUCUCAAAAAAAAAGUAUUUUCUCUCCAAAUCUAAAUUAGCGAAUACUAGCCGAACUAGAAACCAGCAAAAGGAUCGGCAAUCUACGCCGUCCGAUGAUUCCGCGCGCGCGUGACCGGUUGCCAGGUACGUACGUUUUCUUUUUUGUUUUUUCUUUCCUUUUCUUUUCUUCUUCUUUUUCUAUCUUUUUUGUGCUUUAUUUUUAUUUUCUUUUUUUUAUAUUAUCUUUUGUUUUGUAUAUUUUAUCUUUUUUCUUAUUCUUAUUAUUUUCUUUGAUGUUCACGUGUUGAUGUUCUAUUUUUUUAUUUUUUUCUUUUUGAUUUUGUUUUUCCUUUUAAUUUUAUUUAUGUUUUCUUUUAUUCAUAUUUUAUUUCUUAAUCUUUCUUUGUUAUUAAUAUUUUUUUGCAUCAUUCAUUUUUUUUGUGUUAUGUGUCUAAUUAUAUUUUCUUUCAUUCACGUUUUUGCUUUUUAAUAUUUCUUUAUUUUUCUAUUUUUCUUAUCGUGCAUCAUUUGAUUUUUAUUUUUCUUUAUUUUUCUAUUUUAUGUCUUUAUUAUUAUUUUCAUUAUUUCAGUUACUUUUAUAUGUUUUUACCUUUCUUUUUAUUUAUUUUUCUUUUUAUUUUUUAUGAUGUUCUAUAUUGUUUUUGUUAUGUAGUAGACAAGUUCACGUGCUAUAUAUGUGAUAUUUUUUGAUAUUUUUUGAUAUUUUUUUAAUGUUCUCAUGGUAUAGAUACAAUGUUCUAUAGUGUUUUUUAUUAUGUUCACGUAAUAUACGUGUUAUGUUUUAUAAUGUAUUUAGGUCUUUUUUUGGAUGUUGUCAUAUUCACUUCAAUCCAUGCGUGUUGGUGUGGAUUGGGGUGGAAUUUAGUUCAAGUUCCACUCCAAUCCACCUCAACACAUGUGGAUUGAUGUGAAUACGAAUACAUCCAAACAAGGCCUAGUGAUGUUGAUAUAAUAUAUAUGCGAUUGUUUUUUAAUGUAUUUGCUGAUGUUCGAUACUGAAUUUAGUGACGUUCAUUUAGUAUACAUGUGAUGUUUUUGUGAUAUAUUUAGUGAUGUUCAGGUAAUAUAUAUACGAUGUUUUAUAAUGUAUUUAGUAAUGUUGUAUGGUGUAUUUAGUGAUGUUAACUUAGUAUACAUGUGGUGUUCUAUGAUGUACUGAGUAAUGUUCAUGUAAUGUAUCUAUGAUGUUCUAUAAUAUAUUUAGUAAUGUUCUAUGGUGUAUUUAGUGAUGUUCUAUAGCCUAAUUAAGGAUGUUUGAAAAGUAUCAAUAUGAUUUUUUUUGAAUUUUGUACUUGUUUUUAAUUUUUUAUAUAUUUAUGUUUUUACUAUACUUAAUUAUUUUAUGUUUUGUGACAUACUUGUGACGCUCUCGUAGUAUAUAAGUGGUAUUCUAUGAUGUUUUUUGAUGUUCUCGUAGUAUACAUAUGAUGUUUUAUGAUGUAUUUAGUGAUGUUCACGUUAUAUAUAUGCAAUGUUCUAUAAUACUUUUUAGUGAUGCUAUAUGAUGUAUUUAGCCAUGUUCACCUAGUAUAUAUGUGAUGUAUAUCUAAAUAUUUCUAGGAUGUUUGAAAGAUGUUCUUUGAAAAAAAAUAACUAUUAUGUAUUUUUAUUUAUCUUUGCUUAUGUUUUGCUCUAGAAUUUACUAUAUUUUAUUAUGUUAUGUAUUUAUUUAUUAAAUUAUGAUACCAACUUCAUGAACCUAAAACUAGAAUAUUGUUCUUCUAAUUUGAGAACAAUUUUCUUAUAAAGACAUCACAUUAUUCUCUAAACUUACAAUAUUGUCUCUACUCAAGAAAAUAAAAAAUAAGAUAAAUAUUUGUUAACAAAAUUUAUUUAAAUAUAUCUAUGUAGGAUCGUUUUAUUUAAAAAAUUUAAUGAUAUAAUUAGAAUUUAAUUUGGAGUUUUAAUUAGUUUAGGAGUUAUAACUUUUUUUAAUCUAUUAAAAGUCACCACUAAAGUACUCCUCACCGUCUAUACUCGUUCACCGAUCAUCUGUUUGCACUCCGUUCCUCCUUGAGACAUUUUGACGAACGACAACGCUACCUUGAAGCUGUGAAGCAAUAUACAGUCGGUCAGUAAGAAGAUUCGAGAACCGAUAUACUGGGUGCAAACAGAUGAGAGGAAGACGGAGACCUCGCUGCAAAGCUGGUGCCGCGGCCUCACCUCACUGUUGGCGGCAGCACUGGCCUCUUGUUGGCUGGCUGCCCUGCGCGGCUGCGCCCUUAGCAGAUAAAGUAGACUUUGAAGCCAAUAAUUAAACAAAUAAACCAAACAAAAAAUAAACUGGAUAUGACAAUAUUUGCGAUUUAUAUUUCACAAUAUUCUCAGAUACUUCAUACUCACAUAAAGAACUGACACAAAGAAAUGAAAAAAAUAAACAUUUGAUUGAUCAUACAGGAAUACAUUACAGACUUUUUAACAGGUAACAACAUAAUUUCUCAUAUGGCAGCCAGAGCAAGGGAAAAACUAAAAUAAAUAAGAAUUCAUGGAUGAGAGUUGAAAUUCAUCUAUAAAUUGGUACCUUAGGUCCAACCAUUCAUAAUUUUCUAACCAACUUCAUAGGUUGCAUACUUUCUUUCAUACAAAUGGACAUUACAUUAAAUGUUAGGACUAUAAAUGC
rnacentral:lncRNA from 1 species